CCUACGAGUGGCAGCAGUGAGGAAUAUUGGUCAAUGGUCGGGAGACUGAACCAGCCAAGCCGCGUGAGGGAUGAAGGUACAGAGUAUCGUAAACCUCUUUUGUCAGGGAACAAAGGCGGGGACGCGUCCCCGGAUGAGUGUACCUGAAGAAAAAGCAUCGGGUAACUCCGUGACAGCAGCCGCGGUAAUACGGGGGAUGCGAGCGUUCUCCGGAUUUAUUGGGUUUAACGGGUGAGCAGGCGGUGCGUUAAGUCAGCGGUCAAAGCCCGGGGCUCAGCCCCGGCCCGCCGUUGAAACUGGCAGUCUCGAGUUGGAGAGAAGUAUGCGGAAUGCGCGGUGUAGCGGUGAAAUGCAUAGAUAGCGCGCAGAACUCCGAUUGCGAAGGCAGCAUGCCGGCUCCACACUGACGCUGAGGCACGAAAGUGUGGGUAUCGAACAGGAGUAGAUACCCUUGUAGUC
rnacentral:rRNA from 1 species